GUCUCAGGCCGUAUCAGCCUGAAGGCGCCCGAUCUCGUCUGAUCUCGGAAGCUAAGCAGGGUCGGGGCCUGGUUAGGAUCUUGGAUGGGGAGACCACCUGGGAAUCCCGGGUGCUCGAGGCU
rnacentral:rRNA from 1 species